rnacentral:lncRNA from 1 species
UGAAGGUCUGCAGGAGUUGCUGCCUGUACUUGUAUCACUGCAGUGCUGCUGGAGGCACAGAGCAGGAGAGGAUCUGGCAGUAAUUGGCUCUCAUGACUCCUACUUGAGUGAUUUAUCAUCCAGCCUGCCAAGAAGCCCAAUCAAUUAAACACCACAAAGCACAAUCUUCUUUUUUCCUCUGUGAAUAUUCUUGCUUUAACCGUCACUGUGGUCGCCGGACUCUCCAUCCCAGAGUGCUACGUGGGUGCUGGCAAUGCAGCACCUGCACCUGCUGUCUGUACUGCACCAUUGCAUCAUUAAGGUGUAAGCAAACAGAGCAGAACACCGGGGCAUACACCUCGGAAAAUGCUCCUCAGCGUUGGCACUGAAGCUUUCUGCAGAGCAUCCGUGCUAGGUGAGUUCCCAGAGCACCCUGAUUCAGGAAAAGACUUGAUCAUGAAUGGAACCUCAGACAUCCAAGUGAAGCCAACGAAGCUGCUCCUGAAAUCAAGCAUGUGCUUUUUUUUUCUUUUUUUAAUGAUAAAAAGCAAAAGGAUGGCCUCAAGUGCUGACCAUGACGCUAUGGCAAGCAGAACUGUGCAGAAUAAACAAGACUUCUCUGGAACCGCACUUGUCAGGCAGCCCACGCCCCCACUUCAAAUCUACUGUGCUUGUAAGGUGAUGGCUGAUUUCAGAGGCCGCUGUGUCAGAGAGACUUUUAUCCAGACACCACGGAGCUCUAGCUUGGACGCGUGCCUGAGGGCACGUUGUCACUGCGGCUGCAAGGUGGUGUGGAAGUACACCUUCUGCAAACCUGCUGCAGCCACCACACAGCCAGCAGAAGGGCCUCUGUGCCGGACAUUUCGGUUCCCAGGACAAUCGCUGCUGGCCUGA